UGACCGCUGGCGGCGUGCCUAAUACAUGCAAGUCGAGCGAACAGACGCGGAGCUUGCUCCUCUGACGUUAGCGGCGGACGGGUGAGUAACACGUGGAUAACCUACCUAUAAGACUGGGAUAACUUCGGGAAACCGGAGCUAAUACCGGAUAAUAUAUUGAACCGCAUGGUUCAAUAGUGAAAGACGGUUUUGCUGUCACUUAUAGAUGGAUCCGCGCCGCAUUAGCUAGUUGGUAAGGUAACGGCUUACCAAGGCGACGAUGCGUAGCCGACCUGAGAGGGGGAUCGGCCACACUGGAACUGAGACACGGUCCAGACUCCUACGGGAGGCAGCAGUAGGGAAUCUUCCGCAAUGGGCGAAAGCCUGACGGAGCAACGCCGCGUGAGUGAUGAAGGUCUUCGGAUCGUAAAACUCUGUUAUUAGGGAAGAACAAAUGUGUAAGUAACUAUGCACGUCUUGACGGUACCUAAUCAGAAAGCCACGGCGAACUACGG
rnacentral:rRNA from 1 species